UGACCGGGGCGGGGGGUUGGCUAGCUAUGCUAAGUCUCUAAGUUGGUCUUUCUCCAUUCCAUUUCCAUUUGCUUGGAUUCAAAACGCAAACGCGAUGGGGAGGUCUACGUUUGAUGUGGUUGUCUCCGUGUUCGUUACAGUGCACCCGCACGAAACCUCUGCUCUGUUCCAUUCCUUCUUCUGCUUCUUCUUCAUCUUGAGUGCGUAUUUCGUAGUUCUUCCGUUGCGCGAUGAGGGUGCCAUUUCAUUGGGGUUAUCUAAUCUGCCGGGUCUAUUCGUGGGGUCUCUGGUGCUCACCCUCGUUGCUGCGCCCUUUUCUUCUCUCAUAUUCUCUUUUCCUAACCUUUCAAAAGCCAAGGCUUUGUUUUUGAUACACAGGUUCUUUAGUGUAUCCCUCAUAUUGUUCUUUAUUCUAUGGCACUCCUCAUCAGCUGAAUAUUCAAAGUCAAAUAUGACAGGAUCCACACCUUUGCUUCAUGACCAUGGCAGUCUUACAUCAUCAUUUGGUUGGGAUAACCAUGGAUGGUUCUAUAUCUCUGUCAGGAUAGGAUUGUUUCUUUGGGUUGCUUUGCUUAAUCUAAUUACAAUUUCUUCAACUUGGGCAAGGGUAAUUGAUGUGAUGGACACUGAGUCAGGUUCAAGAUUAUUUGGGUUUAUUGGUGCUGGUGCCACCCUUGGACAACUUUUUGGUUCAUUGUUUGCCAUUGGAAUGGCUUUUGUUGGCCCGUUCUUGCUUUUGUUUGCUGCAUUGCUGAUGGAACUUGCAGCGCAAACAUCAAGAGGGAUAAAUUUUGGUUCAUCUCAUGUUGAAGAACAAUCAUCUCCCAUUAGAAAAUCUGAUUCAAAUCAUGACAACGUGACUGAUGGGACUCAGAAGAUUGAACAUACUGUAAGAGGUUCUCCAAAGUCAUCUACUUUGGUGAAGCUUCCUAUUUGGUCCAUAUUUGAAGGACUCUGGCUUAUAUUGUCAUCAACCUACAUGCUGCACUUAUCAUUGUUCAUCUGGCUGAGUGCAGUUGUCUCUUCAUUCUUCUAUUUUCAGAAAGUGAGUGUGAUUGCCACUACAGUUACCAACUCUCUUGGAAGAAGAAAAUUGUUUGCCCAGAUAAAUAGCUUUAUUGCUGUUUUUAUUCUUGUUGGACAACUGUUCUUGACGGGACGCAUUCUUACCGUUGCUGGGGUGACUACAGCUAUAUGCUCAGCACCUUUUGUUGGCCUCUUAAAUUUAGCCGCUCUAGCUGUUUGGCCAAAUUGGGUGGUGGUUUCCAUUUGUGAGACGCUGAGAAAGGACCUUACUACGGGGAAGACGAUUUUAACUACUAAGGAGCAGAGUGGGUUGUAUCUGUUUGAGUCUGAUGACCAAAACAAAACAAAGAUUAUAAGUCAACAAGCUACAUCUGAGACGUGGGCAAAUUCCCAAAUAUGGUUACAUCAUAAAAGGUUGUUACAUAUGUUGUGACAAGGCCUGGAAGAGAACUUUUAUUUACCGUUGUAUCAGAGGACGAGAAGUAUAAAGCCAAAGUAUGCAUAGAUGUCUUGGUUCAAAGACUUGGGGAUGCUGCGGCAGCUGUAAUGUACAAAAUGCUUUUUGGUACUGUCAACGGGAACCCAUCAACAGUUUCCUUACAUGGCCUGCCUGUAUGUUUCUUCUGGAUAGUGACAGCCUUCUUUUUGGGUCGUCGACAAGUGCAACUUUCAAAGAACCAGAUCUCUACUACUUGAAGUGUGAUUGGAAAUUCGGUUGGCAUCAUGCAAACGCAAAUUUCCAUUUUUCAAAGCAUUAAAAAUAGGAAGCAAGAACUUGUAAUUUCUUUGGAACGGAACUUGUAACUACAAAACAAACACAUACUCUUAAGAUUGUGUUUGAGAAAGAUUAUUUUCCAAAAUUCAGUCAUUUAAAAAAAUUAUUUGUGAAAUAA